rnacentral:rRNA from 1 species
GACGGGGGGGGCAAGUGUUCUUCGGAAUUACUGGGCGUAAAGCGUGCGCAGGCGGUUCGUUAUGUCCGUUGUGAAAGCCCCGGGCUCAACCUGGGAAUGGCAAUGGAAACUGGAAGGCUAGAGUGUCGGAGAGGAUAGUGGAAUUCCCGGUGUAGAGGUGAAAUUCGUAGAGAUCGGGAGGAACACCAGUGGCGAAGGCGACUAUCUGGCUGACAACUGACGCUGAGACUCGAAAGCAUGGGGAGCAAACAGG